AGGCGCCACUAAAAGAUGAGGGUGCGGAACAUUAGUUAGUUGGUGAGGUAAUGGCCCACCAAGACUAUGAUGUUUAGCCGGGUCGAGAGACUGAACGGCCACAUUGGGACUGAGAUACGGCCCAAACUCCUACGGGAGGCAGCAGUAGGGAAUAUUCCACAAUGAGCGAAAGCUUGAUGGAGCGACACAGCGUGCACGAUGAAGGUCUUCGGAUUGUAAAGUGCUGUUAUAAGGGAAGAACAUUUGCAAUAGGAAAUGAUUGCA
rnacentral:rRNA from 1 species